ensembl:lncRNA
UGAUCUGUUAAACUGGGCCGAUUUACAGAGCCGCAGUGCCUUCUGUAUCCAAGUCAUACGUAUGACCCCUGCAGACCACGACCCCGCGACCCCACGCCCCUGCGACCCCGGCCCCUCGAACCCCCAAUCCUCCCCUGAUUAGGAAGUAAAGAUCGACCACGCCACGCCUUAAGACAGUCCUACUGGCUUUCACACAAACACGGAGACAGGACUAAUCUUUUGUGUUGAUUUUUAAUUUUGGAAUAAAAAGCCAAGAGACUAAAAGUUGACUUUAGAGGCAGAAGUCAACGUCAGGCUGCGGUGUCGCACUCCUUGGUCCCCACAUUCAGCUAGAACUCAGAUUGUGUUUCUUUUCUAGAAGUUCUCCCUCCGAAAAGACGAACAAACAAACAAACAAAAAAAAACUUUGUCUUUUAAUCCUUUGAGUGGUUUCUUUGAGAAUUUUCAAAUCUUGAACCACGUUGUAUGCUACCAAGUAACUCUCUGUACUACAAACACAACGACAACACACAAGUUGGAACGGCUGGAACACUGAAUGCUGCAAGCUAACCUUAGCCUUCCACUUUACCUCUCCAUUAGCAUAGCAUGAAGCUGUCUGCUGUCCGGCGUGGAGAUAGCCUGGGUCCCGUGGAGAGAGAGAGAGAGAGAGACAGAGAGAGGUUCACCAAGGUGAAAAGCUGUUUGCUCACUUCUCAGGUCAAUCUAGUGCUAGCUAGUUAGAUAGAUAACCGUAGAAGAGCGACCGCUGACAAUGCUAGGAGCUUAACUGAGUUAUUGUAUGGUUUUACCUGGCAUAGCCAUUCAGUCAGACGUUGUAAUGUCGACACCCCCCACCCACCCCCCUUCCUUCCUCCCCCCUCCCCUCUCCUCUCCUCCCUCUUCAAAGCCGUACAUUACAGACGCUGGCUCCCCUCCGCGUCCUCAUGCACAGCCCACUAUAGCUCUGAUAACCAGUUGCACCCGGCCGCUCAUGGGUUCAACGCGCCACAGGGGAAACCCUCCUCCAUUUUGGCUCUCCACUCGACCACAUGCUUCGUCCAGAAUUGUAACCGCAGAUCCAAAAUGGUCGACACACAACACUGCCCUCUGUCCGACCGCAUGUUGUGUGCGUGCUUCCCAACAACAAAACAAAAACCCCAUCCUUACCAAAACAAUCUUUUAUAAUUUGGGUGUUUUCUAUUCAACGCUGUUGUUGAUUUUGUUGUUUUCAUCGGGUGUUUGGGCACUGUGCAGGGGGGUUGCAAGUCAUAUUUCUUUUUUUGUUUUUAUUUCAUCCGAGCGUUCCACUCAAUGUUUUUUUUGUAUUUGCUUCAUCCUUGUUACUCCUCCAUCACACUCUCUCAUUCAGAGCUUGUGGUCCUCAUUCCCACACACAACCCACAGUUUAUCAAACACACACAAGCACACACACAGACACACAAGCCAAGUGUGUGUCUCGGUACACCAAUAAGGGCUCUCUUUAGAAAAAAAGGCGAUCUUAAACCUAAAGUGUAAAUGUUUUGAGAGACCAAGGCACGUGGAGUCUCGCUGUACAGUAGUGCUGAUGUAGCGGCGUCCCCACGCUGCCCCGGCCCCGCUUCACAGGCGGGGAGGUGUGCAUGCUUGAGUCAGGUUAGGGGUGGUUGGGGUGGUCGUGGUGGGGGCGGUGAGUGCGGAGGAAAGAGAGAGAUCGUUCACCUGAUUGCUGUUCGUGGUAGUGGUCCGUAGUGGUCGAUACGGGGUCAUGGAAGGUGGGGGCUGUAGUCUUUUAGUCGUAGCUCUAAUAGUAUUAAUAGUGGUUAUGUCACGAGUUGCGGAAUAAUCUAAACACAUAGACACACACACACAAUCUCACGAUGGCACUGGACAUCACCCCACCCACCCACAUGACACCAACUCUCUCCCCCAUCACCACAACACCCACCCCCAGCUCCAUGUUGGUGUUCAGGGGCCAUUUGGGUUGUUGACCUCCAUAUCCAUGCAUCAUGACUCACCUUUGGAAUGGAGGGUGCCACCCAUGGGAGCUACUGGGAAGGAUGGGGGUUAUACUGGCUGAACAGACAUGGCCCUGUGUGUGUG